rnacentral:rRNA from 1 species
ACGGGUGCGUAACACGUGAGGAACAUGACCUUCGGCGGGGGAUAGCCGGCCCAACGGCCGGGUAAUACCGCGUACGACCAUUUGGGGACAUCCCCGAGUGGUGAAAGCAGCAAUGCGCCGAUGGAGUGCCUCGCGGCCUAUCAGCUAGUUGGUGAGGUAACGGCUCACCAAGGCAACGACGGGUAGCUGGUCUGAGAGGAUGGCCAGCCACAUUGGGACUGAGACACGGCCCAGACUCCUACGGGAGGCAGCAGUGGGGAAUAUUGCGCAAUGGACGAAAGUCUGACGCAGCGACGCCGCGUGUGGGAUGACGGUCUUCGGAUUGUAAACCACUGUCGGGAGGGACGAAUACGCCGCAAGGCGGGUGACGGUACCUCCAAAGGAAGCACCGGCUAACUCCGUGCCAGCAGCCGCGGUAAUACGGAGGGUGCGAGCGUUGUCCGGAAUCACUGGGCGUAAAGGGCGCGUAGGCGGCCUGAUAAGUAGGGGGUGAAAUCCUGCGGCUUAACCGCAGGGCUGCCUUCUAAACUGUCAGGCUUGAGCACAGUAGAGGCAGGUGGAAUUCCCGGUGUAGCGGUGGAAUGCGUAGA